CAGGGGCCGAGGCGGCCGCUCCCGCAGCCUCCGGCCGCCCCUCAUCCAGAGCCGGGCCCGCGCCGCUCCGCCGCCUCGCACGCCGCCAUCUCGGCCCCGUCACCCGGGAGACGCGGCCGCCCCUUCCGGCCGUGCACCGCCUCCCGUGCGCUGCGCUCCGCCCCGCUCGGGCCGUCCGGGGGCUGCGGCUGGGGCCGGGUACAGCUGGGCCGGGCUGCCCGCCCCGACAGCGGCCUGCGCCCUUCCCCGCCCGCCUUCCUCUGAAGCGGCUGAGGGUUUGAGCCGGCUCUUUGGCUCUGGGGGGAGCUGCCAGAAAAAGGCGUUGCCCUUUAGCCGUGGCGGGUUGUUGCAUACGGGGCAGUAAAGGUGUUCCUCUAUGGUCGAUAGGGUGCUGAGCUGUAAAUUUGGAUGUUAAUAAAAAACAAACAUUGCUGAAGUUGCUUCUGAGGGGUGAAGCGCCAGUGCCACAGUUUGUUAACCAACUGCUUGUCCGUUUUAGUGGCUGGUUAAGUGAUGUUAAGUUAAUGUAAGGCUUUCCAGAGCUCUGGGUAAAACUCCAGUUGUGUUACACUUGGUAGGUGAGGUAAAAGGGGUGUUCGUUCCUUUCUUCCAUGGAAACCUAUUCAGUUCUAGUGCAGCACUAAUACAGCAUUCCUUUCAACUCCAAGCUGUAGCACUUGGUUCAUUGUGUGCUCUUUAAAUAUCUUGGUAUGAAGACUUCAUGUUCUGCCACUGGAUUUACUCAGCUGCUGUAUUUCAUAUGUGUGUCGGGCAUCCAUCCAUCAGAUGGAUGAUAGGAGAAUGGCUCUUGUAAGGAGGCAGUGGUAUAGAUACCACUAUGAUAGAGUUCCUUCAUUUCCUGACACCGUGACUGAAUUUCCACAACUCUUCAUCAAAAAGCAGACCCCAAAGGGCCAAAGAACCAACCAUGAUAUAGCUGACCAUGGGACAAGGACCCUGCCAGCCAGGACACAGCAGGGUGAUCUGGGGGCAGCUCAGAGUCCAGACUACCAGGCAGGUUUCUGGUGAUGAGGCAGAUCUGAGGACAAGCCAGUGAGUCUGCACUGGUCGAAGAUCAGUAGAGUCCAUAUCAAGUCAGGACAUGGUUGUGACCAAGCUUAAGGGCAGCACUCCUGUGAUGCUGAGACUUGUCUACAAAAAGAUGAAGUUGAACCAACUACUGGAAUGUAUAUGCACUGGGCCAGCUAAAAGAAAAAUAAUCCCACAGUUGAGGUAAUUCACAUCAAUCCUGAAUUCUCACUUCAUGGCUGUUUAGUUCUUGGUGCUGUCUGCCUUUGUAAGGAAUCAGUGUAUUUCAUGACAUUAAAAUUACAGAAGUUUUGAAGAAAAAUUACUUAAUGCAUCUAUCUGUCUGCAUAUGCUAGAGGUAUGGAAUCUUUAAAAACACAAAUCAUUGUACUUUUCAGUGUGGGGAAAAAACCUCAGCAGGACAGUGCUCUGACUGAACCCUGAAUGUUACUGUUUUCAAUACUCGAACAAAUGAGUAGAAACUAAGACUGCUGUUUGCAAAACAAGCCAGCUUAAGCAUCCAAGAAUAAACCUGUAAUUAAAACAAAAAUAUGAGGCCACAAAGAAACCAUCUCUCAUUACUGAUAUCACCACAAAUAUAACUUCAUUCUUAGAAGAUCCAUCAAGAUACCUCUGACCAGGACACUCCAGUCUAAUUUGGACCUGCACAUGUUGUCCAACAUGCUCUUUGCCUGGCUACUUAGUGGUGGCUGCACUGGUGUGAUUAACAGAACUCAUACAGGGAACAAGUGGCAUUGGGCUGCUUACAUCAAAGAGCAGCCAGUGGUAUCCUGAGACAGAAGCCACAGGUGUGUCUUGAAUGCAGUCACUCUCCUCUUCCUUCUGGGUCUCUGAACACUCUUGCAUUUUAAGCCAGUCUGGGCAGAACUUUACAGCUUAUUUUUGGCAGGAUGUGAAAGAGCUUCUUGUCAAGCCUUUUAACUUCAGAUCGGUCAGCACCACUUUCUGAAAUUUUUUUCAGCGUUCAGUCUUUAUUCUGUGCCAAGUAUGAGCUGCCUGCAGAGUACAAUAUUGCACUUACAGCAACUGCAGUUCAGCUGUCACAUUCCAGGUGGAAUUUCAGAUGUUUACAGAUGAGACAAGUCUACAGUUCAAUGUAUAAAUAUCUUAAAUCUGGCCCUCUCCCACCACAAAAUCACAAACUGAUUUUGAAGGAAAUCAAUUCGUAGCUCUGGAGCAAGUUCAUUCUGUGCCCAUGACAUGCUGCAGCCAUUCAUUAAACAAAAACUUUUAAGUCUUUCAGAACAUUAGCAAAGACCUCUAAGAACAAAAGGGUAAGACUACUGAUGGUAUUUUACAACUUUGACAUAUGUAAAACACGCUCAGGUAGCAUAUAUUCUGCUAGAUUGUGUGAAGAAACAAUGUACUCCAUCAAGUACUAGAACUGGGUAUAUCAAGUCCGGAAUGAGUAACUUAUAAUAAUUAUACAUAUAUGCAAUUAAAAUAGAACAUACCAGCAAAUAAAGUUACAUUAAAUUAACAUACUGUGUAGGUUUGGCUAGCAUGGAGUUAAUAUUCUUUAUAGUAGCUAUUACAGGGCUGUUUUCAAUUUGUCCUCAAAAUAGUGUCAAGAUAGGGCUGUUUUCAGCAUUGCUGAGCAGUGCUUACACACCAUCAAGGCCUUUUCUCCUUCUCACUCUACUGCACCAGUGAGGGGACUGGGGAUGCAUAUGGAGAGGGGAGAGGACCCAUCCAAUACAUCUGAUCCCAGCUGGGUGUCAGCAUAAAGCUGGAGGGAGAAGGAAAGGGGGGAUAUUUCAAGUGUUCGCAUUUCUCUUCCAUAGUAACUUAAGCAGAAUGGACCCCUGCUCCUGAAGAUAUCUGGAUACUUGUCCACCAGUGGGAAGUGGUGAAUGAAUUGUUUCGUUAUCUUGUGUGCAUGGCUUCUGCCUUACCUAUUAAACUGUUUUUAUUUCAA